GCCGAAGUGGUGGAAUUGGCAGACACGCAGGAUUUAGGUUCCUGUGCCGCAAGGCGUGAGGGUUCAAGUCCCUUCUUCGGUACCG
rnacentral:tRNA from 1 species